GAAAAACUAGUCCAUCUCUCUGUACAAGAAAUUCGCUUGGCGUUUAAUGUCAAAACUGAACUGGAAAGGCUGGAGGACACCAUGAGCAACAUUAAAGCUGUGCUCUUGGAUGCUGAGCGGCAACAGCACCACAACGAGAAGUUGCACCUCUGUAUGUGGAAACUCAGAGACAUUUUUUAUGAUGCUGAGGACGUUAUUGACGAUUUCAAGUGUGAAGCUCUCCGCAAACAGGACGCCAUCAAUCAUCCCAACAUCAACUUAAAGGUGCAGUUUUUAGCUUCCUGUUGUACUAGUUUGCCUCCUUCAUUCUCUUUAAGAAUGGGUUAUAAAAUCAAAGACAUCAAUCGGAGACUAGACGAACUUGCUACUGAGUGGAACAGCUUUGCUCUAGGACCGCGUAGCGACGAUCGACAUGUUUUGCGCAGAGAGACUUCCUCUUUUGUGGAUUAUUCUGAUGUUAUUGGUAGAGAUGAGGAUAAAGAGAACAUUAUUAGUAUGUUGAUGAAACCAAGUGACGAUGGAAAUAUCCCUGUCAUUCCCAUUGUUGGAAUUGGGGGUUUGGGAAAAACCACGCUCGCUCAGUUAGUAUACAAUGACGACCGAAUUACUAGACUUUUUCCUUUGAAGAUAUGGAUCUGUGUUUCUGAGGAAUUUGAUCUUUCUAGAUUGCUCAAGCUGAUUAUUAAGUCUGUAAAUAAAAGAGAAAGAUGUGAUGAUUCAACACUUGACGCCUUUAUUUUAAUUUCUCUAUCAGAUUCGAUUCCAUAUUAUCUUUCCCUUUAGAGUAGAGUAGAGACGUGCCUUUUGUCCAGAAUAGUCCGUUCUACCAGCAUGGUUUUGGUUAGAAAUCUGGUAUGUUUAAAGUUUGUUAAGUACUCAUUGUGUUUGGAAACAUUGCAUGUAUGAAAUGUGAAGAUGGAGAUGGAAGAAUGAAGCAGAGGUUGAGGUAGGGCAGGGAAGACUUUUACUUUAUUUGCAUUUGGAUUUCAGUUGUAAUUCUAAUAAGUGAGCUUUUGCUUUGGAUAUUUCAGACUCUUGCUUAAUGGCUUCUUGCUAUGGAUCGUAACUUUUAACUUGUAGUGUUAGUUUGAUAUGUAUAAACUUUUAGUUUUAUGCAUAUUUAUGUUUUCUCAUGCUUUAUUUGUGUUUAUGAUUUCCUAUACUUUCUUCUUCUUUUUGUUCAUUAGUAUCAAUCGAGGGGCAAUUUAAAACAUUCUUAAAUUUGAUAUUUAAAUUCGAGUUCAAAUAAUAUUAAAAAAAUUACAUUUCUUUUAACUUGUAUAAGAUCUUCAAUUGCAAAGUCACAUGUAAGUAGAGAAAAAUUAUCCCUGAACAUAUAAUUUAAUACCCAAUGCUGAAAUUUUUAGUCCUCCAAGAUUUCGAGGUUUUUUUUUUCCCUUUUUGGUGAAUUGUAUGUUGGAGUUAGCAAGUUGCAAGACAUGUUAAUAAUUUUGUAUCGUUAAUAAUCAAGAUAGUAAAAUAUAAGCAAAUAUUAAUUCAUUAAUUUAUUAAUAUUUUAAUUAAUAUUAAAUUAUAUUAUCUGGUCGGAUCAUAAUACGAGAAAGACAUUUUUUAUCAAUAGAUAAUCUAAAUAGUCCGCGUUCUAAUCAAAAUUGAUGCGGAUAACUCCCUGAAGAUAUAGACAUAGAUGUCAUUGUCUGAACUGACAAUAGUCGGACAUGAUCCAAGUUGAAUUUAUCAUAAAUCUUUUUAUGUAUUUAUUCAUUUGUGAUAUUCAUAGUGUGUUAUACCUUAAUCCUGAGUGGAUGAUAGAUUAUAUAUGCGUGACUUGUAUGCUUUAAUAUAAAUGAAAGCCCGAGUUUAAAUUGAUAAAAAAACCGAAAGGUAGUAUGUCAGAUAUACUACUUCUACAUGAUAUAGCACCAUUCCACAAUAAUGGAAUUCAUAGCCCUCUAAAGACAAACGAUAUUCUCUCAUUAACAUUACAUUGUUGAUAAAAAAAAACGUGACUACGGGUCAUUUGUCUUAAGACAAAUGAUUUAAUUACUAUAUGUUAAUAAUUACUUUUUUAUAUCAAAAGAUGUAAUGGAAAGUAUGAGAUAAGAUAGAAUCAUACAAGAAGAACAUAUUUUAUCUCAAAAAGAUUAAAGAUAUCCUAUAAGGGUAAUACACUUAUGACAAGGUUAUUAGACGGGCACUAAAUAAAGUAGUUUCGUAAUGAUAUACAAUAAGAGAGAGUUCAGUCAUUAUACUAUAGUGGAAUGACCCAUGAUUAAAUAAGUUGUAAUUAAUAGGUGAAGAGCUAAAACUUAAUUACAAAUUAUUUGAGCUCUAAUUACAUAUGUCCAAUAAGUCUCUUCUCUAGCUCGAGAUAACCCGAAACGAAUUACAUAUAGAAUUGAUAGAUUGUAGAAUGAACUAAAAUGAUAAGUAAAGAAAUAGAUCGUAUAUAUCACUAUCCGUAGUAAAUGUCUUUUCUCCCACUAAAUACAAAAGAUAACUUAGAAAUUAAUUUUUUUUCAAAUUAUUUUUUAAUUAAUUGUAAUUAAAUAAUUAAAGUUCAAAGAAUGAAUUAAAUUACUUGGUUUGAAUAAGACAAUUAAAUUAAUUUUCUUAUAAAUUCUAAGACAAUAAAAUUGUCAUGACUCUAAUGAAAUUAGAGUUGAAUUAAGAAAAAAAUUAAUUGAAAAAUUAAUUUAGUUAAUUAAAUUAAUAAUAUUUUAGAUGAUAGAAAAUAGUUAUUUGAUUGGAUAAAUUAUAAAUGUUGGAUAAAAGUUCAAUAACACAUAUAAUUGUAUCCAAUAUACAAAAAGCUCAAAUAGACCUUGAUAAUACAAAUGGGUGGUAAACCCUAGUGUAUGCUAGGGCAUGUUGCCACCCUCUAGUUCUACUUCAUGUAGAACUCGUAUUUUUAUUAAAAUAUUAUUAUUUAAUUAGACAUUGUUCAAACAAAACUCUUGUAUCAUUUUUCUAUAAAUAAGAACUACGAGUAAACCUAUGAACAUACUUUGCAUACACUUUUGAGCAUCGAUAUUCUAUCUAAAAAUACUGAUAAUUUUUUAAGAAUAAAUUCUAUUUUUCAUAAGAGUACUCAUAGUUUUUAAUUUAUAGAAAGAAUUAACUUUCCAACUGAAAGUUAAAUGAAAAUUUCAUUUUGUGCACUUAUUUGAUUUGUUUGUGCAUCCUUUUAAAAAAUGAGUUGUGCCUCGGGUAAGACUUUUUUAGCUCAGGCCCGACCCAAAUUAGCAAAAAGACAAAAAGAAAUCUACUAUUUUCUUAUUGUUUUCCUAUUAUUUUCUCAUUAUUUUGCUACAAUUUCACUAUUAUGUUAUUAUUUUUGUUGUUAUUGUUUGGAUAUAUUGUAUAACUCUUGUUUUAUUGUUAAUUAUGUUAUUACUUUUGAGGCCUUUGCUUGAUAAGUUACACGUAUCUUAGUGUUAUUUAAGUAUAAAUUUUUUUAAUUUGUUAAGAAAUAUUUAUUUUAAUGUUUUUAAUAUGUUUUAUGUAUUAUAUUUUUAAUUUUUAUAUACAAAAUAAUAUAAAAAAUUAAUUCAGCAGAACCGAGCAUGAGCUUUAGUACUUUUAUCCGGUUCGAACUUAGACAAAAAUUUAAGCCCAUUUUUCGGAUCGAAUUGAGCUUGGACCUAGUAAAUAAGCCUAAAAUUUGGAUAAGACAAGACCUAGCCCAUAUAUUGGUCUGUAACAGAAAAUCGUUAGUGCUGACUGUUUUGUUAUUUUUUGAAAGUUGAACGACUAAGUUGUAACCUGAAUGACUGUUUUGUCAGUUACUCCAAAGUUGAGUGAUGACUGAUGUAAUUUACCCUAUUUAUUUCUUUCAUAUAAGAAGGAUUUUUCCUUUUUUCGAAUUAUAUACGCCCCAGCUCAGUCAAGUAAAGCCAAUCAAAAUGACAGAUAUUUGGCGGAAACUUCGAUUUUGUUCAAAACAUUAUUUUCCCCUGAACAAGAAGGUUUGUUUUAUUUUUUUUUUCAGAUUUUGGGCUAUAACAAGAAAUUCUUUGUUUGAUUUUCUACUACAAAGAAAUUCUUUGUUUGCUUAGAAUGUGUUACACACUAAGUUCAUAAGCUCACCUUUUGUUUGUUCCUCUCAAGUAACCAGCAAACAUAGGAGGAGUUGGGUAGCAGGAGCUCGGAUUAAAAUAUUGUUUUUAAAUUUGUUUAAGUUAAUUUAUUAUUUUUAAUUUGACUGUUUUGGAUUUUUUUGGGGAUUGUUAAUUGUUUUUGAACUACUUUAUCCUAUUUAGAAUAUUUAUUCCAAAUUGCAAGAUGUUGAAUUUCAAAAUCAAACUACGGUUUUCGAAACUCUGAUCAACUUAAGUUUUUUUGUUGCAAAACUAAAUGAUUUUAUAAGUGUUUUUUGCAAUAAAAAUGAAAUUGAAAAUAUCAUACAAAGUUUUGUUUUAUGUUACACUUCCGAAUUUUAGUUAUGGUUUUAAAACAAAUGUAUGUAAUUCCUUAAAAUUUGACCAUAACGUCUAGGUCGGGUAUGAUGUGUUAUAUAUUCUUUAUUAGUUUAUACAUUUACUUAAUUUAUUAUUAUUAUUAACUUAUUUAAUUGUAUAGGUUUUUUACACAUUCUUGUUUUAGUUUAGAUACAAUAAUUAAUACCCAUAAUCAUAUCUCACUAUUAAUAUUUUAAUUUAUUUUACCCCUUUUUCAAUUAGGUCUUAAUUUAAUUAAAACACACUAUUUUCAAAUUAAACAUCGUAAUUAAGUUUUGUUUUAGAUUAAUUAAUAUAAUAAUACAUGAUUAUAUUAUUUUAAUGCUUUAAUUAAUUUUUUUAACCUUAAUUUUGAUAUCCGUUUCAACCCCACGAUUAAUUAUCUGAUUCUUCUAACCCUUAUAUUUUGGGUAUUUCAAAUAAUAUUAAACUUUGAAUGCAAAGUGAUAAUAUGUCCAAUUUACAUGUUUAUUUUGUUUAAUUUUGAUAAAUUCUUGAAUGAGAUGUUACUAAUUUUAAACCUAUUAAUUAAUUUUUAAUUAGGUGUAAAAGCAAACCCAAAAAAUAAAAAAAAAUUGGGCUGUCAUAAAAGUUUUGAGCAAAAAACUAAACUAACCAUUAGUUUGAAAAAAAAUAAAGUAACAAUGGUGCUAAAAAAAAAUUGAAGAAAAGAAAAAGAGAAUUCACCUAAUACUUAUUAUAUAAACUGUGGCAUGGUUCACUUCCCCACCUUAAAAUCCCACUAUCCAAUAUCAAAUAAAUUAGAGGAAUAAUUUAAUUAAAUCAAUAAUUAAUUGAUUAGUUCUAUAAUUUAAUCAAAUUCAAGUAUCUGAUUCAAUUCGUAAUUAGAGGAAUUUACAAGAUUACAAUCAUCAAUAGAGAGAUAUACAACUGAUAAAUACUCCUAAAAUUACUUAUACACCAUGACAUAUACAUUCAUAUAUCUGAUUGAUUCAAUAAUGGUUUUACGAUUAAUCAUAUAUUUUUAAAUUACUUGUACAUCAUUAAUUCUACAUAAAUUACUUGAUUUAUGGUUUAUUUUAAUUUAAUAUAAUAUUUUAAAAAGUUUAUAAAAUAAUAAAUGAUAAAUAAUAUUAAACUUGGUAUGAAAAGUGAUAAUACAUCCAAUUUACAUGUUUAUCACGCUUAAUUUUGAUAAAUUCUUGAAUGAGAUGCUAUUAACUUUGGACCUAUUAUUUGAUUUUUGAUUAGGUGCAAAAGUAAACUCGAGAAGUUAAAAAAGUUGAAAAUGCAAGCUGUUGUAAAAGUUUUGAGCUUUUAUAUUUGGAUUUAUUUGAAAAAUGGAUACUUUUAAUUUUAUUUUAUUUUUAAAUAACUCUUCAAUAUUAGAUGGAUGAGUAUAAGUAGAAAUAAGGUUUUAGGCGAGGUACAAGGGAGGGAGAAUGGAAUGGGGAAUUGAACUUCUUCCCUGAUCUCAAUUCUGUUAUAACUCUUUUCUUUACUUAUGUAUUAUUGCAUCAUUUACCUUUUUGUUUUAAGCUGAUAAAUAACCUUAUAGAUAGCGGUGAUAUAUGAACCUGCAUUUCAAAACUUUCGUUCCAAUGUUUAUUGUUUUUUCAGUUUAGGAGAUAGACUUCAUAGUCUCGCAAAAUUAUAUUGACAUCAAGUUAAAAAGAAUUUGUUGAUUCAGUAUUGAUAGGCAUACAGUUGGAAAUAUCGAGUUGAUCGUUUAUCGUAUUCAAUCUACUCAAGAACACAUUGGCAUGUCCAAUUAAGUAGUUAGUUAGAUUCUGUUAGGAGGAAAUAGCAAUUAGUUUUGAAACGGUUGGGCCAUUCUAGUUCGCAAGGUUAUCGGAGUUAAAUCGUAGACUUGUGUUUCGUAGUUAUUCAUUCAAUAAAAGUUAGUUGUUGGACAUUCUUACAAUAAAUUUACACAUAAAAAAGUUAAUAGUCCAAUGUAUCCUCGAUUAUUAUAAUUGACUUAUCGAUCAAAGGAGAAAACUUGCUAUUAAAAUACUUAUCGUAAAUUUAGUCAUAUAUGAACCCUAAAUAAAAUACUUCUUAUACCCAUUAAAAUCAAACCAUUUAUUUAUCUAACUUAUAUUUAUUUUGGUAAAAGAAGACUUAUAUUUAUUUACUUUAUUCCUAAAACUUCAAACAAACCCCAUCUUUAUCUUUUAAGUUUCAAAAGGAGGUUUAAAUUUUAUUUUUACCUAAAAAAACAUUUUCUCAAUCCAAAACAAAUAUUUAAAUUAUAUUACCAUAUAUAAUUUAUGAAUUUAAUUUAAAUAAUAUUUUUAAUCCAUAUACCUUUUAAUGGAUAAACUUUCAAAAUAGUUACUUUUGUUUACCUCAAGUUACAUUUUAGUUAUUAUUGUUUGAAAUGUUACAUUUUAGUCACUUACAUUAACAUUUUUUUACGAAAUCAUCACUUUGCCGUUAAAAUUUGUUAUUUCUCAAACGAUAGUCCAAUAUAACAGUUAAAAUGAGUUUUAAAUGUUAAUGAUAGAGUGACCAUUUUCUUUAUAAAAUAAUAACAAAAGUAACUAAAAAUAAUAUUUUAAACAUAAGAAAUUAAAAUGUAACCUAAAUUAAAUAAAAAUGUUUAUUUUUGAUAGUUUACCUUUGUUUUUUUUAAUUUAUCAACACACCGUAGUUAAGUUCCAGCCAAGUCAACCGUUAAGCCUAGUCAACAAUCAAAAGCAGAUAUGUGGCUGAAAAAAAUAAAAUCAUUAUUGAGUGCCUCAAUCAUUCAUUUGCCUUCCUUCCCCUCAAUCAUUCAAGCUUUGCUCUAGAAAUUCAAUUAUGGCGGAAACGUUUCUGUUCAAUAUUGCAGAAAGGGUUCUCGCCAAAAUUGGCAAUCUCUCUGUAGAAGAAGUUCGCUUGGCUUUUAAUGUCAAAACCGAUCUGAAAAAGCUGGAGGACACCAUGUUCAGCAUUAAAGCUGUGCUCUUGGAUGCCGAGCGGCAACAGCACCAAAAUGAAAAGCUGCGCCUGUGUAUGUGGAAGCUCAGAAACAUCUUUGACGAUGCUGAGGACGUUAUUGACGAUUUCAAGUGUGAAGCUCUCCAGAAACAGGACGCCAUCAAUAAUCCCGACAUCAGCAACUUAAAGGUGCGACUUUUAGGUUCCUGUUGUUUGCCUCUUUCAUUCUCUUUAAAAAUGAGUCAUAAAAUCAAAGACAUCAAUCGGAGACUAGGCGAACUUGCCACUGAGUGGAACAGCUUUGCUCUAAGUCAGUGUAACGACAGUAGACAUGUUUUUCGCAGAGAGACCGUCUCUUUUGUGGAUUCUUCUGAUGUUAUUGGUAGAGAUGAGGAUAAAGAGAACAUUAUUAGUAUGUUGAUGAAACCAAGUGAGGAUCGAAAUGUCCCUGUCAUUCCCAUUGUUGGAAUUGGGGGUUUAGGGAAAACCACACUCGUGCAAUUUGUAUACAAUGAUGAUCGAGUUAAUAGCCUUUUUCCUUUGAAGAUAUGGAUCUGUGUUUCUGAGGAAUUUGAUCUUUCUAGAUUGCUCAAGCUGAUUAUUCAGUCUAUAAAUAAAGAAGAAAGAUGUGAUGAAUCAACACUUGAAGCCUUGCAAGCUCGUUUGAGAAGCCUUUUGAAUGAUAAGAAGUUCUUGCUCGUCCUGGAUGACGUGUGGAAUGAAAAUCAAGCAAAAUGGGUUGAGUUAAGAAAUUUGUUGAGAUCAAUAGAUGGCUUGCGUCAAAGCAAAAUUAUCGUGACUACUCGGAGUUUGAAGGUUGCCUCGAUAAUGAGUUCAAUUCGCCCUUAUGAAUUGAAAGGUCUCCCUCUUGAAGACUGUUUGACCUUAUUUACAAAAUGGGCUUUUAAUGAUGGUGAUGAAAGACAUUAUCCAAAUCUCAUUAGAAUCGGGGAGGAGAUUGUGAAAAAAUGCAAAGGGGUUCCUUUGGGAGUAAGAACAUUGGGAAGCCUACUGUUUCAGAAAACGGAUGAAUCUGAUUGGAUCUAUAUAAGAGAGAGUGAAAUAUGGAGACUUGAGCAACAUGAAAACGAUAUUUUACCAGUGUUGAAGUUGAGUUACAAUCAUUUGCAAUCUCAUUUGCAACGAUGUCUUGCUUUUCUGUCCUUGUACAAGAAAGAUGAGAUCUAUUAUAGUGAGAAAGUCAUCCGUCUUUGGAUGGCAAAUGGACUUCUUGAGCAUUCAAAGCAAAAUCAAGAGCGGGAGGAUGUUGGCAAACGAUAUUUGAAUGAAUUAUUGUCAAGGUGCCUCAUCCAAAUGGAGCAGGAUUAUUGGUUGUUUUUUACCUUCAAAAUGCAUGAUCUGGUACAUGAUCUUGCAUUAGAUGUGUCUCAAAAAGAAUGUAAAACAGUGAAUUCCGAAACAGAAACGGUUGAUGAAAAUGUUCGACAUUUAUUAUUAUGGGAUGAGAAGUUGGUUGGAGUUCCACGUGUUUUGGAGGAAAUGAAAAAUGUUUGAACAGUAAUCAUCCAGAAUGCUUCAAAGGAAUCAAAGACUACUUAUGAAUCACUUAUAAAUCUGUGUCUCUCCAAUUUCAAGUAUCUACGAGCAUUAGAUUUAAGGAAUUCACCAUUGACGGCUUUACCGAAUUCCAUUGGUACCUUAAAGCACUUACGACACCUUGACUUGGGCGGAUGUACGAGUCUACGUGAACUCCCGAGGUCUUUCGAUAAGCUUCGCAGCUUGCAAUCGUUAUAUUUGGGAAAUACUGGUUUGAAGCAGUUGCCUGACAGCGUGCAAAGGUUGAUUGAGCUUAGACAUCUAGUAAUAACCAUUAAAGCUACGCAUUUGAAAGAAAUACGAGCAGGAUGUUGGACUUCUCUUCAAUACUUGAAAUUGGGAUUCUGUAGGGAAUUAAAAUGUUUACCUGAAGGAAUGCAGUAUCUGAAGUCACUUCGGACACUUGACCUGCAGGUCUGUAAUAGUCUUGUCUCAUUGCCACGGAGCCUGAAAUUCCUAACCAAGUUAGAACACCUUUGUAUAGGAUUUUGCAAUAGCCUGAAUUUGAAAAUGGAACCAGAAGAGGAAGAAGACAAAGACCUUCAGUUGAGCCUUACAAGUUUCACACUCAUCGUAUUAGAUGCCUUAAGAGAUUUGCCGCGAUUGCUUCUUCAAGGAUCUUCUUCCACUUUGCAGCGUUUACGAAUUAGUGGGUGUCCAAAGUUGUCCGUUCUACCAGCAUGGCUACCGAAUCUCACUUCUCUUCAAGAACUUGAGAUUGAGGGUUGCAGAAAUUUGUCAGCUCUACCGGAGGGAAUAGACCGCCUCACCAACCUUAGAGAAUUGAGAAUUGGCGGAUGUCCGGAGUUGAGCAAAAGAUAGAGAGAAAAUGGGGGUGAAGAUUGGCACAAAAUUGCUCACAUCCAAAAGGUUGUUAUUACGGAUGAAGAUUGAGGUAUGUGAUAAAAUUGUAAUUUCUCUAUCAGAUUCGAUUCCAUAUUAGAGUAGAGUAGAGACGUGGCUUUUGUCCAGAAUAGUCCGUUCUACCAGCAUGGUUUUGGUUAGAAAUUUGGUAUGUUUAAAGUUGAUCAAGUACUCAUUGUGUUAUAAAACUUGCAUGAAUGAAAUGUGAAGAUGGAGAUGGAAGAAUGAAGCAGAGGUUGAGGCAGGGCACGGAAGACUUUUACUUUAUUUGCAAGUGAGCUUUUGCAUUGGAUAUAUCAAAUGGCUUCAUGGGAUGUUUGUUUGACAUGUAUCAACUUUUAGCUUUAUGCAUAUUUAUCUUUUCUCAUCCUUCCUUUCUCUUUAUGGUUUAGUAUCAACUCAUUGUGUUUGUUUUUUUUUUAGUUUAAUUUUAUUAUUUGUUUAUUUUGUGAUGGAGAAAUGAUAACAUAUUUAAUUUUUAAGAAUUACAUACUUUAUCAAUUUGAUCAUAGUUAUAAAAAAUGUAAUUCUAAAGAAUUAAAAUAUAUUUAUAAAAUUACAAAAUAAUAAAAAAUAAAAAAUGUUAUUCUUACAUAUUAAUAAUUUCUUUUAAAAUUUUAAAACAUAGUUUGUAACUUGAAAUUUCUAACCCCUAAAUAUUGACAUCAACAUUGUUUUAUUAUUAUUAUUUUUUACUCAAUGCUUUGCUUGGUAGACCGGGAAAAAUUGAAGUGGUAGAAAAAUUGAAAAAUAUAAUUUUUCUGGUAGGAAAGAAAAUUUGAUAGAAAAAAUAAUUAUCUUUCUAACCAUUGCUUAGUAGAGUUGAGAAAUGACAAGAAAGGAAAUAAAACAUUCGAAAAAAAAAUAUAUAUAAUUUUAAACUAACAUACACAUUUCUCUUAUUUUUUCUCCAUUCACCAUUCCAAUUUGAAAGAUUUAAUUUUUCAAAAAAAAGGUACCGAGGAUCUAAACACAUUCGCAUUGGUUUUUUGUGAAGAUUGAACACAAUUUAGUUAGUUUAUUUGGAUCAAAUUGCUGUUAUUUUUUAGCUUAUCUUAACCUAUAAUAUAUAUAAAAGUAAGAAUUUAAAAAUUUUUUUUGAAUCGACAAUAAUAUCCUUUAAUGUUCAUUUAAUUACUAAAUAAGCAUUAAAUAAAUAAAUAAAUUUUAAAAAAAUAGAAUUUUUCUCAUUUGAACUAUGUGGUUAAAAAUAUUAGAUAAAAUCAUAUCAAUAAUUUUUUUAUAAUAGAAUUCUUAUUGUUUUGAGUUACACAGUUGAGUAUAUUAAUUAUUAAUAAUAUCUAUUACUUUAAAUUAAUUAUUAUUUAAUUAGUGUUACAAUUAUAUUAUCAAUUUAAAUUAAGAUUUAUUGUUAUAAAUAACAUUCAACAAAGGAAAUUAUUAAAAUUAGUAAAUUUGAAGUCUCAAAAAGAAUAAAGUAUCUUUUCUCCUUUUUCCAUUAGUUGGUUUGAAGAAUGAUAAUGGCAUUAAACCGAAUAAUCAAAAGCUAUACCAAUAUAGAAACCAAGAAAAUGCAUAUUCCUCAAUUGUCAAUGAUUGAUAAAUGAUUAGUACAUGAAGCAACAAAGAAUGCCAUGAUACUGUCAGUGAUUCAUCGUUAUCACUCGCAUCACCGGUUUGCUUGGAUGCUGUUGAAUCACGAGGUGGUGGUCCGAUAACUGACAGCUGAUAAAGAACCCCUACGGACAGCGUAAAGAAGAGGCAAACCAAACCGAAAGGUGUGGCAUGCUUAUCCCAAAUCAAUACAUUGAUCAUAACUGUGAGGAACUUGUUAACCACAGUGGUAACAGUAAAUGCAGUGGCGAAGACCGCCUUCCUAGUCGCGAAUCCGAAGAAACUAAUGAGCAAAGCGAACAAACACAACAACGAUACAGCAGUAUACAAUCUAAUUCCUAAGAACUAACAAAAUAUAAAUGUCAAUUAAAUAAUAUACAGCAAAGAACAAAAUUAUAUGAAUUAUUAAUAUAUUUAAAAUUUAUAAGAUUGAGUCUUAACUCGAUUGUUGUUAAUGCAAGAGGAUGUGAAUUUGAAUGCGCUGAAGCGCUUUAUCUUCUAAUUUAAAAUUUGGGGAGGGACUCAAUGAAGAAUUAUCCUAAUUAUAACGUAAAGUAUUUAAAAGUUUUAAAAAUUAUAUUUUAUUGUAUUUUUUUUAUUUCAAGUUUUUUUAUAAACUAAUUUUUUUCAAUAAAUAAUGCUGGAAUUAGUUAAAGCAAUAAUUUAUUAUUAAUCCAAAUAAAAUCAAACAUAUUAAGCUAUUUUGUGGCAGCUGCAUUUGUUAAGAUUUGGGAGGAACUUUUAGAGUUGACAAAAGUUUAUAUAAUCUAAGCUUAAUAUCUUGUAAAUAAAUAAAAAUCAAUUAAGUUUAUAAAGAAAUUUACCUCAUCGAGCUAUUAAUGGCAAGAAAAAAAAUCAAUUAAACUCUUCCAUUAAUAGAAAUUGUUAGUUGAUCGAUUUAAUUAUUAAUGGUAAAUAUAUAUAUAUACGCGUCUAGAAUGAACCUGAACAAUCAAAUUAUUGUCUAGGUUCAUUUAAAUCUAGACAACCAUUUAUUCAAAUUCAUUCUAUAUGAGUGUAAAACUAUAAAAAAAAAUAUUUAAAAAUUAUAAAGAUUAUAAAAAUAUUCAAAUAUGUAAAAGAUAAAAAAAUAAAAAUAUUAAUAAUUUAUAAAAAUAAAAAUAAAAAAACACAUUUAGAAUGAACUUGAGUCGUCCUCCAGUGUAUUCUUGUAGUGCCAUGUGUUGCGCCGGGUGAGGGUAUAACAACACUAAUCAAUAAAAAUUAUAUAUUAUUUCCAAAAAAAAUAUUUAUUGUGAUUAAUUGCUUUUAUUUUCUGAUUUUCAAAUUUGAUAGGGAUUAAAUUGCUCAAAAAUUUUGAAAAGGACCAAUUUUCUCAAUAUCAAAAUUGAAAGGGAGUGGAGAGAUAUUUUUACCAAUUUAUGUUUACUUUGUAAACUGUAGCACCAGGCGUUUGUAGUCCAACGGUUAGGAUAAUUGCCUUCCAAGCAAUAGACCCGGGUUCGACUCCCGGCAAACGCAAUUGGAUUUUUCAUUUCAAGCAAUUUCUUUUUAUCCUUGUUCUACGAUGGAAUGAAGGUGAUAACUGGUGAGUGUUCAUUGGAUGAAAACAUGAGAGCCAUUUGCCUACCAAAACCACAUACACAAAAAGAGAAACAUUUGUGAUAUUCAAAAGAGUGUGCUAAAAUCUGUAGUAGAACCCUACCCCUACCCCUACCCCUACACAUCAAACCUUUAAACAAUUUGUCAUUUUUUUAAUUCAUCAAAGCUUCACCAUUUAAUUUCUCUAAGAGAGAAAUGAAAAAAAAAAUAGGGAAUGUGAUAAUUUUCAAAUUCAAACAUGAAAUAAUAGUUGCUCUUACUCUUCAGUUUUGUUUUUAGAUAUUUAUAUUAACAUUCAAUAAAUAUUCAAAUAAAUGAUAAAUCUAUAAUAAACUAUGUGUCAUGAUUUUAAAGAAGAGUCAUGAAUCGCACAUUAACAAUAUAUUAGACUUGAUCUUAAUAUAUAAAUGUUCAAAUCACUUUCAACUUGUAAGUUGCUUUUUGUGGACAAAGUUGUAAAACCGAAUAGUUUGAAGAAAAAAUAUAUCUUCCAUCAUGACAUUAUAGCAUAAUGUUAUCUUUAGUAUAAUUUAUUUUCUUUAUUUCCCAUACUUUUUUCGUAAAUUGGCAUUGAAAAUAAAAAUGAUAUUAAAUUUUAUUUUUCGAACAUUCCCCCAUUUAACCUAAAAAAAUCCUUCUCAAUCCAAAACAAAUAUUUAAAUUAUAUUACCGUAUAUAAUUUAUGAAUUUAAUUUAAACAAUAUUUUUAAUCUAUAUAUUUUGUAAUAGAUAAACUAUCAAAAUAGCUAUUUUUAUUUACCUCAAAUUACAUUUUAGUUAUUUUUGUUUGAAAUGUUACGUUUUAAUUACUUAAGUUAUCAUUUUUUUAAUGAAAUUAUCAUUCUGCCGUUACAAACAACAGUAUAGUUAAAAUAUGUUUUAAAUGCCAACGGUAGAGUGAUCAUUUUCUUCGUAAAACGAUAACAUAAGUAACUAAAACAUAAUAUUUUAAAUAUAAGCGACUAAAAUGUAACCUAACUAAUAAAAAUAAAAAUGUUUAUUUUGAUAGUUUACUUUUUUUUUUUUUUUCUAAAUUUAUCAACACAGCCUAGUUAACUGACAGCCAAGUCAACUAGGAAGCCAAAGCAACUACCAAAAGCAGAUAUUUGGCUGAACCACAAUCACAAAAUUUAAUGAAUGGCUACUUCGAUAAGAAAAGAAAAAAAUAAAAUCAUUAUUGAGUGCCUCAAUCAUUCAUUUGCCUUCCUUCCACUCAAUCAUUCAAGAUUUGCUCUAGAAAUUCAAUUAUGGCGGAAACGUUUCUGUUCAAUAUUGCAGAAAGGGUUCUGGAAAAACUAGUCCAUCUCUCUGUACAAAAAAUUCGCUUGGCGUUUAAUGUCAAAACUGAACUGGAAAGGCUGGAGGACACCAUGAGCAACAUUAAAGCUGUGCUCUUGGAUGCCGAGCGGCAACAGCACCACAACGAGAAGUUGCACCUCUGUAUGUGGAAACUCAGAGACAUUUUUUAUGAUGCUGAGGACGUUAUUGACGAUUUCAAGUGUGAAGCUCUCCGCAAACAGGACGCCAUCAAUCAUCCCAACAUCAACUUAAAGGUGCAGUUUUUAGCUUCCUGUUGUACUAGUUU
rnacentral:lncRNA from 1 species